ensembl:lncRNA
UAGCAAUUUUAAUAACAGACAACUGUGAUGCGUUAGCAAUACAUACUUCAUUUCAUGAACGUUUUAAUAUUCUAAAAGGAUUUUUGUUGUUUUGUAGAAAUUAUAUGGCAUUCAAAGUGCAUGUACAGUACAUAGUGUUCUUGAUCGUUCCGAUUAAUAUGCAUAUUCUUGUAAAAUGUGUCUUGAGUUCUUCUUGAAGUGAUUCAAAUUUGUGGUUUUUCACACUAAAAUACUAACAGCUCAUCAAGAAGCCUACACAAUGGAGCUAUUUAGGGAAAUUUCACAUGAAUGUCAUAUAUGACAGACAUGCACACCUACAGGAGCUCAGGGGUGAAGCCCCCCCAUGGCGAAGGAAACGGCCCGAAGAAAGGCCUCAUGCUGGAGGGAGAGGGGCCCGGCAGCUUCCUCAACAAUGGAAGUUCUUGGAAGAUUCUAGGAAGGUCCUGUGAUUUACGGUUCAUCUUUUUCUUGAUAGGCAGCAUGAAUGCCACUUUACUUCCUUUUCACUUUGAAACACAGAGCAGUUUCUCAAAAAGUGUGUUUCUUUGCGUGCACGUGAAAGCGUGA